GUUUGUUUAGACGAAUGGGGGUAGGGGUUAUAAAUUAUUUUUCGUGAAGCUCUGGAAUUAAUAGACGGGUAACACCUCGUAAUCGCGUGGUUUGGCCAAUAGCAGAAACGAUAGAGCUGUGAACCAUUACAUUUUUUUUUGCUGUGGUUACUGGAACUGAAAUGAACUCCUUAGAGCAGGCAGAAGAUCUAAAAGCAUUUGAAAGAAGACUUACUGAAUACGUUUCAUGUUUACAGCCUACUACCGGACGUUGGAGAAUGUUACUUAUAGUGGUCUCUGUUUGCACUGCCACGGGGGCAUGGAAUUGGCUAAUAGAUCCAGAGACCCAAAAGGUUUCAUUCUUCACAUCUUUGUGGAACCAUCCUUUUUUUACUAUUAGCUGCAUAACUCUAAUUGGGUUGUUCUUUGCCGGCAUACACAAAAGAGUGGUGGCUCCGUCGAUAAUAGCAGCACGAUGUCGGACUGUCCUUGCUGAAUAUAACAUGUCGUGUGAUGAUGCCCUUCACCCCUGGAAAAAUCUAAGGCCAAGUGGCAGAGAGACAUCCCUGAGUUAGACGAUGAGAAGUGGUCUGAUGCUCUCAAAAUGGUACCAAAUGUUUCCAUCUCAAUAAGAGAUAGGUACAUCCAGACUGGAAAGUUAAUUCUGAAGCCGAGGCCUCAUGUCCAAUGAUCAUCUUUUUUUCCAACACCACUGGAAAACUCAGACCAUAAUGAAUUUUUAUAGAGUUUAAACAGACUAAGUGUGCAGCAUUAGAUGGAUAUAAUCAAAUUCUGGAGGAGCUGAUUUAUGCACUUGAAUAAAUUGGCCUUAGAAACACUGUAUACAAAAUAUAGAAUGCAACUGCUGUUUCUUCAAUUAAGAAAGCGAUACAAGGGAAACGUUGAGGCGUGCUGCAGUAACCUCUGAUUCUCAUAAAUAACCUUUCUUAACCAGCAAUUUGCAUAUCCGAAUUAUAUGUGUCAAAGCAUUCUCCAACCAAAAACUUCUUAUGCAUAACGAAAAACUGUAAUUCUAAACAGCGUUUCAACAUAUAUUGAUUAGAUAUUUGCAAAGUUUUAAAGUUUAUAUGAAAAUGUAAUUGCAAUUUAAAUCAAUAUUUGUUAUCCCUUUCUGAAGAAGUUCUCCUCCUGAUCUUUUAAGUAGUUGCUUCUCCUAUAUUGUUUCACUGACCUGACGCAGUGGUGCACAGUAUGUAAACAUUCUGACAGAUACUACUUUUAAUAGCAGUUACAUUUACAAAUAAUAUAUGUAUAUUGUUAAGUUGCUGCAUGCAAAAAAGUCAUUGGGGGAGGAUUUUUUGAAGUGAGGCUGUAAAAUGUCUCAAUUUUUUUAUUUUUGUGUUUUAUAUUUUCAUUGUGUAUACUUUUUGUAAUUCCAGGGUUUUAACUUAACCUGUUUUACUGUGUAAGUUUAGUUUAGGGAGUUUGUAUUCAGCUGAUCUUUUAUCGUCACAUUUAAGGGCCAAGGCACACCGGGAGCUUUGUUGCCUGAGGUUAAAUAUUUGCUACUGCAGACAACAAAUCUCCGGAAAACAUUGCAUAACAUAAAACUAAGAUUGCCGGGAGUAAUAGUUUUUACUUGCAGCAAUCUUAAUGUUAUGCUAUGGAAAGUCUUUUGGGAGACUUGUCGUCCGUGGUAGUGAAUAUUUAACCUGUGUGCUAUCUUCCUAAAGAGAAAGAAGGUCUAAAUUACUGGCGGUGCCAAAUUUUAUGCACUCCGUAGUGGUUGUAAUCACUCACCUGAAACCCAGGCUAGUGCUCCUGUUGGCAGAAACCUACACUAAUACUAGGUACUUUUCAUUGAGCACCAUGGAGUGAUCCACUUCCUCCUCUUUUUCUUAAAUACCCCAGUGACAAUGCAUGCGCAGUAAAGUGAAAAAGCCAUCUAUCUUUGUUAAAGUUUGACUUUUCGCUCUCCUUCACAUGCGCAGCCAGGUGCUUGCAAAGAGAAAAGAAGCAGGUAAACAAUUGUUCCAUGGUGCUUGCACAGAAGUACCCUAGCCUUGUGCAUUGUUUUGCCACAUGAGCACCAGCCUGGUAUAAUGGGUGCUUACAAUCACUGCGAGGUGCCUAACAUUUCUAAAAUUACUUUCCUUCUCUUUUAAUUCAGAUUUGGUUUAUUGGCAGAGCACUCAACUAAUGUAUUUUUUGAAGAUUUACACUACCCUCAAUAUUAGGUGGUGCAGGAUAUAAGAUUUAAAUUGAAGCAAUUAACAAAUUAUCUCUCAAUCUGCACACGGUAAUUUUACUUCAUAUGAAUAAUUUAAUUUGAGAUCAUCCAGUUCAUUAGGCAAUUACUUAUACAUGAAUUAAUACAUCUUUACAAAAAAAUCAUAAAUAACUUAACAUGCUUAAUCAGCUGAUCAAUAAAUAGGUAAUAAGUUAUAAAGUGCAAAUUUUCGCAUUCUCUUCACAGUUCAUUUAUUCAUCAGCCUGUAAUACCAAUUCAUGUUCAAUUCAUGUAGGGUUAAAUUGGUAAAAAAUAAUCAUGCAAGUUCACUAGCAAUGCAUUAGUUAAAUAUGUCCGUUGUGUGGCAUAACAAGAGAAUUCAUUAGCCACGCUAGUAGAGCUCCAUCUACUAGCGUGAGCUUUACAAGCAGCACUUCAGUAUGAGGGAGAAUAUUACAAUGGAGGAUUGCGCAGCACACUACUUAUACUGUUAAGACGCUUUCCAGUAUCACAUUGCCUUCAUUCCGCACACCCUUACCACACACUCAAUUAUCGGAUCUCCCAAUGAAACUGUUGCAAGACACUGUCUUUGUCUCAUAAUAGCAGGCAGCCUCUGGCUACACAUGCGGGAGUGCUAGAUACAAGGCUGCACAAUGUUGCAACGUUGUUCCAUUUUUUUUUUUCUAAAUUGCUACACAUCUAGAACGGCUGUUCUAUAACUAUAAAUAUAGUGGAUUCAAACUUUGGCCAGACAUUUCUUCACAAACUUUUUAACAGUAUUAAUUUGGAGUGGCUAAUGAAUUCUCUUGUGAUGCCACACAACGGACAUAUUUAACCAAUGCAUUGCUAAUGAACUUGCAUGAUUUUCUUACUAAUUUAACCCUACAUGAAUUGAACAUAAAUUGGUACUACAGGCUGAUAAACUAAUGAACUGUGAUGAAAAUGCGAAAAUUUGGACUUUUUAACUUACCUAUUUAUUGAUCAGCUGAUUAAGUAUGUUAAGUUACUUGAUGAAUUUUUUGUAAAGAUGUAUUAAUUCAUGUUAAUUGACUAAUGAACUGGAUGAUCUCAAAUUAAAUAAAUUAUUCAUAUGAAGUAAAAUUACCAUGUGCAGAUUGAGAGAUACUUUUCGUUAAUUGCUUUAUUCUCUUUUAAUUCACAAUUAUGUACAUAUCUUAAAGGGGAACUAAAGUCUAAAAUAGAAUAAUGCCAGAAAUGCUGUAUUUUGUAUACUCAACAACUGCACAACAAUCCUAAUAAAACAAAUGAUUUAUUCUUUCAAA